GCUGGCGGCGUGCCUAAUACAUGCAAGUCGAGCGAACAGAUAAGGAGCUUGCUCCUUUGACGUUAGCGGCGGACGGGUGAGUAACACGUGGGUAACCUACCUAUAAGACUGGAAUAACUCCGGGAAACCGGGGCUAAUGCCGGAUAACAUUUAGAACCGCAUGGUUCUAAAGUGAAAGAUGGUUUUGCUAUCACUUAUAGAUGGACCCGCGCCGUAUUAGCUAGUUGGUAAGGUAACGGCUUACCAAGGCAACGAUACGUAGCCGACCUGAGAGGGUGAUCGGCCACACUGGAACUGAGACACGGUCCAGACUCCUACGGGAGGCAGCAGUAGGGAAUCUUCCGCAAUGGGCGAAAGCCUGACGGAGCAACGCCGCGUGAGUGAUGAAGGUCUUCGGAUCGUAAAACUCUGUUAUUAGGGAAGAACAAAUGUGUAAGUAACUGUGCACG
rnacentral:rRNA from 2 species